rnacentral:rRNA from 1 species
AGAGUUUGAUCCUGGCUCAGAACGAACGCUGGCGGCGUGGAUAAGACAUGCGAGUCGAACGCUGAAUAUCCGGUAGCAAUAUUGGAUGUUCGGAGUGGCGCAAGGGUGCGUAACACGUGGAUCAUCUGCCUGGAAGUCUGGAAUAAUUCGGCGAAAGCCGGACUAAUGCCGGAUGUGAUUGGGAGAUUAAAGCUGGGGACCCGCAAGGGCCUGGCGCUUCCAGAUGAGUCCGCGGCCUAUCAGCUAGUUGGCGGGGUAACGGCCCACCAAGGCAAAGACGGGUAGCUGGUCUGAGAGGACGACCAGCCACACUGGAACUGAGACACGGUCCAGACACCUACGGGUGGCAGCAGUCGAGAAUUUUUCUCAAUGGGCGCAAGCCUGAAGGAGCGACGCCGCGUGGGGGAUGAAUGGCUUCGGCCCGUAAACCCCUGUCAUUUGCGAACAAAUUAUUUUACCUAACACGUAAAGUAUUGAUAGUAGCGGAAGAGGAAGGGACGGCUAACUCUGUGCCAGCAGCCGCGGUAAUACAGAGGUCCCAAGCGUUGUUCGGAUUCACUGGGCGUAAAGGGUGCGUAGGCGGUCGGGUAAGUCUGAUGUGAAAUCCCGCAGCUUAACUGCGGAACGGCAUUGGAUACUAUUCGGCUCGAGGAGUGGAGGGGAGACUGGAAUUCUCGGUGUAGCAGUGAAAUGCGUAGAUAUCGAGAGGAACACCUGUGGCGAAGGCGAGUCUCUGGACACUUCCUGACGCUGAGGCACGAAAGCCAGGGGAGCAAACGGGAUUAGAUACCCCAGUAGUCC